AACGCACAUUGCGCCCACUGGUAUUCCGGUGGGCAUGCCUGUUCGAGCGUCAUUAUCCUCUCUCUCACCCUCGUGGUGUGUUGUUGGGUCACAUCGUUUCCCUUCUGUGGGCGAUGGACCUCAAAGAUAAUGGCGGUGUCGUGGGACCCUCUUGAUGCAACGAGCUUUCGAGCACGCACCGACUGGGACCCGCGCCACCGGUCUACCCUUUUUCAAUUUAUCAGGUUGACCUCGGAUCAGGUAGGAAUACCCGCUGAACUUAA
rnacentral:misc_RNA from 2 species